AAAGUUAGUAGUGAAUUGGGUCUCUAAGUCCUCUUUUGCUUCCUCUUUUCAGCAACUCAUUGUCAUGAAGAACAAAAGACUCUCUUCAUCAAAGUUGAACUUUUGUCUUCAAAAGGGUGGAUUAUGUGGAAGACCUUCGGAGUGCUACUUUCUGGUCUACCGAUAACAGCAUCCUGGGCAAAUCUGCCUCAACCCUGUCCUCUGAGAUCAUCAGCAAGAAGUGUGUUUACCAGGAUUCCAGUUCUGCAAAGGAGGCUCCUCAAAAGAAGGAAGCAUCCACCCACCUGAGAGACUCUGUGUCAGAGAGAACCCAGAGCUUGGACAGCAGCAUACUCGCUUCUCUCCAUGUCACCUUGUGCUCUAAGGACUCUUGACGUUCUAAACACAAGUGCUGCCUCAGUAGUACAACAGAGAGAUGUUAAAUUGAAGAGAACCUACAACCUGCUGGAAGAACAGCAACCUGCAAGAGUCAAGGAGUCGGCAUCUCAAACUGGAUCUGUGGUUUGCUCUCAACGCAGGCUCUUGCCUCAGAGGCGGGUGCAGGCCGCACUGCUGGGGACCACAGGCUUCGGAAGGGCGGCUGGUUGACAUGUAUUGAGUCAAUGAAGCAGAUGGUAUCGUCACAGAUGAGGAAACAGGUGCAUGGACCUGUGGCAUAAUGUGGCCCACGUGACACCCACCUCAUUGGAUUCCUGAGCCUGGGUUCUCAGAUCCUCCGGCCCCAGCUUCACAUCGCAGCCACCAGCAUCACGAUUCCCCAUGCUGCAGAUUUCUCAUCUAUGAGGUAAGCAUGAAAUGAGAUCAUAUAUUAAGGGGGCACCUGGGGGGCUCAGUGGUUGAACAUCUGCCUUUGGCUCAGGGCAUGA
rnacentral:lncRNA from 1 species